CAGUUGGUUAGAGCGCGCGCUUGAUAAGCGUGAGGUCGGAGGUUCAAGUCCUCCCAGGCCCACCAUUCCUCGACAAAGGUAUCAGGGGCCGUAGCUCAGCUGGGAGAGCGCCUGCUUUGCAAGCAGGAUGUCGUCGGUUCGAUCCCGUCCGGCUCCACCAUCUUUCUUCCCUAAGGAGGAGAGGGUGUCGAGUGGAUGUGAAACCGGUUGCAAGGUCAUUCGUUAUAAAGUUUGCGGCGAGCCUCCGGCUCUCCGCCUGUUCUGUAUGACAUCGUAAAGAGAAGAUUUGUUCGAACUUCAUGGCCCGAAAGGAUCAUGAUUUGUCGCGGGAGACGCUCAAUCUCCCGCAUAUGAUGGGUUUGCCUAACCGCACCCUCGAACCGAUCUCGAGAAGCUGGUCUUUUUGUGCCAAUUCCAUUGAAGCAGAUCCCGCACAGGAUCUGGUUCGAGCGACGAUCUCUUCGAGAUCGCGCAGUGGGCAUUGGCAAUGAGAACGAUCAAGUGUCUUAAGGGCAAUUGGUGGAUGCCUUGGCAUGCACAGGCGAUGAAGGACGUGAUACGCUGCGAUAAGCUACGU
rnacentral:tRNA from 1 species